rnacentral:rRNA from 1 species
UGCAUGGACGCAGCUGAUGCAGCGACGCCGCGUGAGUGAUGAAGGUCUUCGGGUUGUAAAGCUCUUUCGUCAGGGAAGAUAAUGACGGUACCCGUUGAAUAGGCCCCGGCUAACUUCGUGCCAGCAGACGUCGUGAUAAAAUACGCGGUAAUACGCG